AAACGAUUAUUAUUGUAAAAGAUGAAUCAAAACAAAUGGGCAAAACGUAAAUUAACCAAAACAAUAAUGGCAAAAAACAAGUUUCAUUCUCAGUAAUUCUUACCCACAUGAAUUUUUUUAGGUGCUAAACUUAAAAAAUGUAUAUUAAACAGCAGAAGAUAGUGGUGGCUCCCGUGGUGAUUUCUCUUUUCGUGGCUCCCGUGGUUGCUGCCGUCUGGCUCUUUUGUUGAGUUAGUGGUGGCUUCAUGGGGUUUUGAACGUCCUUUGGACGGUUCUUCAGAUGUAUCUUGUACAAUAUAUAUAUAUAUAUAUACACCAUUAAAAAUAAAAAACAGCAGAAGAUAGUACAACAAUGAUUCUAUUUUUUUUUUUUUGACAAAAACAUUGAUUCUAUAUAGAAAGUAAUUUUAAUGUUUUUUUUUCUAAAUUCUUUUGUUUCGUAAAAAAAGGCAAUAAC
rnacentral:lncRNA from 1 species